CUGCAAUGUUAAAUCCUACAAUAAAAUUGGGAGGUCCUCAUUUUUGGUAUUCAAAUAUUUAUAAGGCUUUAGAUCUUUCAAACGAGAAAGUUGUUAUACUUGCAGAUGCAAAAGCAUCAAUUAAAAUUAAUGCUCAAACAGUUUAUAAUGCUUAUCAACUUGCCAUAGAGAAUGCUAGGCCAAAUAUUCCAACCCCAACUUCGUCUAUCUCACAAUCGUCUAAAAGAGCUGCGGUCUUAACAGCUCUUAAAUCUUGGAUGGAAAUCCGGAUUUCUCAAGGUGAUAAUUAUGAUGAAACUUCACAUCUAAAUG
rnacentral:lncRNA from 1 species